AGUGGGAUAGCUAGGUCAAAUGGUGGUUCCAUUCCAAGUUUUCCAAGGAACCUUCAUACUACUUUUUAGAUUGGUUACACCAAUUUGUAGUCCUACCAGCAAU
rnacentral:pre_miRNA from 1 species